AACGAACGCUGGCGGCAGGCUUAACACAUGCAAGUCGAGCGCCCCGCAAGGGGAGCGGCAGACGGGUGAGUAACGCGUGGGAAUCUACCCAUCUCUACAGAAUAACGCAUGGAAACGUGUGCUAAUACCGUAUACGUCCUUCGGGAGAAAGUUUUAUCGGAGAUGGAGGAGCCCGCGUUGGAUUAGAUAGGUGGUUGGGUAAAGGCCUACCAAGGCGACGAUGCAUAGCUGGUCUGAGAGGAUGAUCAGCCACACUGGGACUGAGACACGGCCCAGACUCCUACGGGAGGCAGCAGUGGGGAAUAUUGGACAAUGGGCGCAAGCCUGAUCCAGCCAUGCCGCGUGAGUGAUGAAGGCCCGAGGGUUGCAAAGCUCUUUCACCGGUGAAGAUAAUGACGGUAACCGGAGAAGAAGCCCCGGCUAACUUCGUGCCAGCCGCCGCGGUAACAC
rnacentral:rRNA from 1 species